rnacentral:ncRNA from 1 species
UAGAUUAAAAAAAUAUCUCGUAUAUUAUCGGAAAUACGGUUCGGAAGUUUCUACCUACUCACCGUAAAAGAGUGGACUACGAGUAGUAAUCGU